UCUUCCAUGGGGUGAGGGGGAUGGGGGACCCAAUGCUCAGUGGGUUGGGAUCGUGUUAUCCCAAAUAUAGGGCAGUUAUGGGGCAGGGGGUUCUGUGGGGCGAUGGGGAUGGGGGAGCCCAUGGUCAGGGGGGUUUGGGGUCGUGGUGCCCCACAUAUAGGGCAGUUAUGGGGCUGGGGGUCUUUUGGGGAAUGGGAUGGGGAACCCAAUUCUCACUGCAUUUGGGGUCUUGGUUUUGGGGCACUUAUGGGGCAGGGGUUCCUGUGGGGAUGGGGAAGCCAAUGGCUGGGGGUCUUUUGGGGUUGGGUGGGGGCACCCAAUUCUCGCAGGCUUUGGGGUCGUGGUUUUGGGGCACCUAUGGGGCAGAGGUUCUGCUUUGGGGAUGGGGAACCCAACGGUGGACGGGUUUGGGGUCCCACAUGUGGGGCAGCUGUGGGGCUGGGGGUCUUUUAGGGUUGGGGUUGGGGGCACCCAAUUCUCGCUGGCUUUGGAUCGCGCUUUUGGGGCACCUAUGGGUCAGAGGUUCCCCUUUGGGGAUGGGGAACCCAAUGGUGGAUGGGUUUGGGGUCCCACAUGUGGGGCAGCUGUGGGGCUGGGGGUCGUUUGGGGUCAUGGGGUUGGGGAACCCAAUGGUGGACGGGUUUGGGGUCCCACAUGUGGGGCAGCUGUGGGGCUGGGGGUCUUUUGGGUUUGGGUGGGGGCACCCAAUUCUCGCAUGCUUUGGGGUCGCCCUUUUGGGGCACUUAUGGGGCAGAGUUUCCCCCUCGAUGUCGGGACGCCACGCAUGGAAUCCACCCCCAACCCGCAGCGGCGCCGCGCCUCCAGCACCCAGAUUUGGGGCGGGGGUCCCAACGCCGCCCCCCCCCCAUGACCCCCCCCGCCCCCCAGGUGCUGCUCCUACGUGGGGCGGCGCGGGGGGGGCCCGCAGGCCAUUUCCAUCGGGAAGAACUGCGACAAGUUCGGCAUCGUGGUGCACGAGCUGGGCCACGUCAUCGGCUUCUGGCACGAGCACACGCGGCCCGACCGCGACCAGCACGUCGCCAUCAUCCGCGACAACAUCCAGCCAGGGCAGGAGUACAACUUCCUCAAGAUGGAGCCGGAGGAGGUGGAGUCGCUGGGGGAGACGUACGACUUCGACAGCAUCAUGCACUACGCCCGCAACACCUUCUCCAGGUGCUGCCCCACUGCGCCCCACUGCGCCCCAUAGCGCCCCAUAGCGCCCUGCUUUGCCCUGCCCCACUGCGCCCCACUGCGCCCCAUAGCGCCCCAUANNNNNNNNNNNNNNNNNNNNNNNNNNNNNNNNNNNNNNNNNNNNNNNNNNNNNNNNNNNNNNGCCCCAUAGCGCCCUGCUCUGCUCUGCCCCACUGCGCCCCACUGCGCCCCACUGCGCCCCAUAGCGCCCUGCUC
rnacentral:lncRNA from 1 species